rnacentral:rRNA from 1 species
ACAGGUGCUGCAUGGCUGUCGUCAGCUCGUGUUGUGAAAUGUUGGGUUAAGUCCCGCAACGAGCGCAACCCUUAUCCUUUGUUGCCAGCGGUCCGGCCGGGAACUCAAAGGAGACUGCCAGUGAUAAACUGGAGGAAGGUGGGGAUGACGUCAAGUCAUCAUGGCCCUUACGACCAGGGCUACACACGUGCUACAAUGGCGCAUACAAAGAGAAGCGACCUCGCGAGAGCAAGCGGACCUCAUAAAGUGCGUCGUAGUCCGGAUUGGAGUCUGCAACUCGACUCCAUGAAGUCGGAAUCGCUAGUAAUCGUGGAUCAGAAUGCCACGGUGAAUACGUUCCCGGGCCUUGUACACACCGCCCGUCACACCAUGGGAGUGGGUUGCAAAAGAAGUAGGUAGCUUAACCUUCGGGAGGGCGCUUACCACUUUGUGAUUCAUGACUGGGGUGAAGUCGUAACAAGGUAACCGUAGGGGAACCUGCGGUUGGAUCA